rnacentral:rRNA from 1 species
GAUUAUCUGUUUGAUUGUCUUGCCCAUUGGAUAACCGUGGGAAAUCUAGAGCUAAUACAUGCAGUUUAUUGGCGUAGUUGAAAGACUAUGUCAAAGCAUUUAUUAGACUUAACCAACUACUAUACGCAAGUAUGGUAAGGCGAAUCUAGAUAACUUUGCUGAUCGUAUGGCCCUGUGCCGACGACGUUUCAAUUGAGUUUCUGCCCUAUCAAUUUGUUGGUAAGGUAUUGGCUUACCAAGGUUGCAACGGGUAACGGGGAAUCAGGGUUCGAUUCCGGAGAGGGAGCCUGAGAAACGGCUACCACAUCCAAGGAAGGCAGCAGGCGCGCAAAUUACCCAAUCUAGACAGUAGGAGGUGGUGAAGAGAAGUACUUAGUGGUGGCCUUAAUGGUCCCAACUAGGAAUGAACGUAAUUUAAGCAAUUCGAUGAGUAACUACUGGAGGGCAAGUCCUGGUGCCAGCAGCCGCGGUAAUUCCAGCUCCAGUGGCGUGAUUUAAAGUUGCUGCGUUUAAAACGCUCGUAGUUGGAUCAUGCAAUAACAUGUAGUAACACUGGUUGGUAAAUUUGACGAUUCUCUUCUUGAUUAUUGGAUAAUUAUCGACCAGUGUGUUCAUGCUACAUGUUAUUAUUUGCACACAAGUAUGAUAUUUGGGCUUAAGUGAUUCGAGUAUCAUGUCUUGUGGAGUGUGCCUUGAAUAAAACAGAGUGCUCAAAGCAGGCGAACGCUUGAAUGUUGUAGCAUGGAACGAACAAACGUGUAUUUGUGUAUAUUUGAACGGUCGGUGGCAACACUGACUGUUUGGGUAUAUGCAGCACCCGCCGAAAUGCGAAUGUUGGUUUUCGUAUAAGGUGAUGAUUAAAAGAAGCGGUUGGGGGCAUUGGUAUUUGGCCGCGAGAGGUGAAAUUCUUGGACCGGCCAAGGACUAACAGAUGCGAAGGCGUUUGUCUAGACCGUUUUCAUUAAUCAAGAACGAAAGUGGGAGGUUCGAAGACGAUCAGAUACCGUCCUAGUUCCCACUAUAAACUAUGCCGACCUGGGAUCAGUUUAGUGAUUAACAAGCUCUAGGUUGGUCCCCCUGGGAAACCUCAAGUUUUUCGGUUACGGGGAGAGUAUGGUCGCAAGUCUGAAACUUAAAGGAAUUGACGGAAGGGCACCACCAGGGGUGGAACCUGCGGCUUAAUUUGACUCAACACGGGGAAACUUACCUGGUCCGGACAUCGAAAGGAUAGACAGACUGAUAGAUCUUUCUUGAUGCGGUGAGUGGUGGUGCAUGGCCGUUCUUAGUUCGUGGAGUGAUCUGUCAGGUUAAUUCCGGUAACGAACGAGACCACAAUCUUCAUUUGAGAAAUAGUAGUAGGGAGUUGGCUCAGUGGUGUUUCGGCAGCUCUGGGUUGGCUUUCGUAGGUAGAAUUAUUGAAUUUCAUAAAAGUAGCAUUCUGGGCUCGCUCAGGGUGUAAUGUUUAUGAAAGGAUAUGGUUUUCCCUACUGUUAUGCAGUGUUAGGCAAAACCUUUACGCUGCCUCAUGGAGAGACAACAGGUUUAUAAAAGCCUG